rnacentral:lncRNA from 1 species
UUGGUUGCUAAACACUGCUCAUACUCACACACACUGGCUGAAAGAGACAAAAGAAACUGACUGAAACUGACUCGGCAGGAUAUCGCAUCCUGGGCCUACUUAGUCUAUCAGGCAUAGACAUCAGAGUCGAAGUAGUUCGGACUGGGGAAACGACACAUGCUCGCUAGGAUAUCGCAUCCUAUGCAUACGUAUCUUCUCGGACGAGAGAAGAAUCAGAGCAUUCGUAGC